rnacentral:rRNA from 1 species
UACGUAGGGUGCGAGCGUUGUCCGGAAUUAUUGGGCGUAAAGAGCUCGUAGGCGGCUUGUCGCGUCGGAUGUGAAAGCCCGGGGCUUAACUCCGGGUCUGCAGUCGAUACGAGCAAACUAGAGUGUUGCAGGGGAGACUGGAAUUCCUGGUGUAGCGGUGAAAUGCGCAGAUAUCAGGAGGAACACCGGUGGCGAAAGCGAUCGACUGGACCUCUUCUGACGCGUG